UGGGGCUCAACUACAUUACCCUCAUCCACUCUCUUUUCUCUCUGUUCAUUCUUUUUCUUGUAACAAUCUUUAAUAAAAUGUCCAGUUUUUCCACAUCCACAACACUUUCUAUUUCCAGUCCUAGACUUGGAUCUAGGUCUUCCUUUCCAUUUCUUCUUGUUAUUGUUAUUUCCUUGAUAUCUCUGAUUUUCAUGACUAUUACCUUGCCUAGUAAGUGAUCUGCCUCUAACAAAUAAACUUUCAGAUUCCCUUCCCUGCCUUUCAGAUUUAAUUUCUAAUUCUUUACUUCUUAAAGAAUUAAUCACAACUUCAGGGGUUAACUCAUCC
rnacentral:lncRNA from 1 species